rnacentral:rRNA from 1 species
UACGGAGGGUGCAAGCGUUAUCCGGAUUCACUGGGUUUAAAGGGUGCGUAGGCGGCCUAUUAAGUCAGGGGUGAAAGACGGUGGCUCAACCAUCGCAGUGCCUUUGAUACUGAUAGGCUUGAUUACACUAGAGGUAGGCGGAAUGUGACAAGUAGCGGUGAAAUGCAUAGAUAUGUCACAGAACACCAAUUGCGAAGGCAGCUUACUAUGGUGUCAAUGACGCUGAGGCACGAAAGCGUGGGGAUCAAACAGG